GCUGGAGAGUGGUAUAGUUGGUAUCACUGUUGUCUUGCAGCAACAAUGUCCUGGGUUUGAAUCCCGGCGGGGGGUCUUUCUGCA